rnacentral:rRNA from 1 species
GCAGUCGAGCGGACAGAUGGGAGCUUGCUCCCUGAUGUUAGCGGCGGACGGGUGAGUAACACGUGGGUAACCUGCCUGUAAGACUGGGAUAACUCCGGGAAACCGGGGCUAAUACCGGAUGGUUGUCUGAACCGCAUGGUUCAAACAUAAAAGGUGGCUUCGGCUACCACUUACAGAUGGACCCGCGGCGCAUUAGCUAGUUGGUGAGGUAACGGCUCACCAAGGCGACGAUGCGUAGCCGACCUGAGAGGGUGAUCGGCCACACUGGGACUGAGACACGGCCCAGACUCCUACGGGAGGCAGCAGUAGGGAAUCUUCCGCAAUGGACGAAAGUCUGACGGAGCAACGCCGCGUGAGUGAUGAAGGUUUUCGGAUCGUAAAGCUCUGUUGUUAGGGAAGAACAAGUGCCGUUCAAAUAGGGCGGCACCUUGACGGUACCUAACCAAAAAGCCACGGCUAACUACGUGCACCACCCGCGGUAAUACGUAGGUGGCAAGCGUUGUCCGGAAUUAUUGGGCGUAAAGGGCUCGCAGGCGGUUUCUUAAGUCUGAUGUGAAAGCCCCCGGCUCAACCGGGGAGGGUCAUUGGAAACUGGGGAACUUGAGUGCAAAAAAGGAGAGUGGAAUUCCACGUGUAGCGGUGAAAUGCGUAAAGAUGUGGAGGAACACCAGUGGCGAAGGCGACUCUCUGGUCUGUAACUGACGCUGAGGA